AACGAACGCUGGCGGCAGGCCUAACACAUGCAAGUCGAACGGUUGUAGCAAUACAGCCGUGGCGCACGGGUGAGUAACGCGUGGGAAUCUGCCCAGUAGUACGGAAUAACAGUUGGAAACGACUGACAAUACCGUAUACGCCCUUCGGGGGAAAGUUUUUCGCUAUUGGAUGAGCCCGCGUCAGAUUAGCUAGUUGGUGGGGUAAUGGCCUACCAAGGCGACGAUCUGUAGCUGUUCUGAGAGGAAGACCAGCCACACUGGAACUGAGACACGGUCCAGACUCCUACGGGAGGCAGCAGAGGGGAAUAUUGGUCAAUGGGCGAAAGCCUGAUCCAGCCAUGCCGCGUGAGUGAUGAAGGCCUUAGGGUUGUAAAACUCUUUCGCCGAGGACGAUAAUGACGGUACUCGGAGAAGAAGCUCCGGCUAACUUCGUGCCAGCCGCCGCGGUAA
rnacentral:rRNA from 1 species